rnacentral:lncRNA from 1 species
UGCCUGUCUGCAGUGAGUCUGACGUCCCCAGGAGAACACUUGGGAAACAAACAAUGGAAGGAAAAAUUACCCGUAAUUGCACAGCGCAGAGAUAAACACCGCUCGCUUCGGAGACGGCGUCUUCUCUCCUUCUGCCGCCUCCCUCGCUCCCCUCUCCUCGCACAUGUAUCAAAAACAGGAUCUUCUGUGUGCCUGCUCACACACAGACACACGCGCACACUCACACGCACACACGGCUGCUCCAUCCGCGACGCUCCCCGCCUCCCCGCGGCAGCUGCAUGGCGGUUCUGUCCAUCCGUUCCCCUUGGCCUCCGUCUCUCGGGCCACAGGCUGUGCUCUCCUCUCGUCCCUCCGCCUGCAGUCUUUGAACCACUCCUGCCUCUGCGGGCCCCUCUGCAGCCCGCCCUCCUCCCAGACGGAGCGACGUGGCCAGCACCCUCCAGCGGUUCCUGUUGCUCCACCAUGAAGCCCAGGCCUGCCCUCCAGGCUUCCGGCCACCCCUGCAGCCCCUACCCUCCCACCCUCUCCGCACAGACCCUUGCUGUCUUGUGGGGCUCCUGCCAGCCCCCUCCCUCCACUGCCUUCGCUCAGCCCCCUGGUCCCCACUGUACUGUACCCCCACACUCCCACGGGGCAGCUCGGAAGUCUCCUGGAGGCAACAGGGCCUUCAUGCCCACUGACCUUAGUGCUCUAGCCUGGACGCUCUGGUGACCCCUGACCUCAGGCUCCCCAGGUUUUGGCUCCUGAUGGAGCACUCUCUGCAUUUUCUGAGUGAAGGACGAAAUCUGUGAAUGAAUGAAUGAGUGAGUGAGUGAAAUACCUGGAAUCGGUCAGCAUACUGUUGGGGGUCGUAGCAGGGGCCAUCCCGAUUCCCUCCAGAAACGCUAACGUCGUUUCUGUAUCCACUACCUGCAGACAUGCCAGGCAGGCCAACCCGCGCUUCCCACUGAGCAGAAUCGCGUUUUCAUGUCUGCGAGCUGUUGGGCAGGGUUUCGUGUGUCCCCACGGAAACGCGCGGG